rnacentral:rRNA from 1 species
GAUGAACGCUGGCGGCGUGCCUAAUACAUGCAAGUCGAGCGAAUGGAUUAAGAGCUUGCUCUUAUGAAGUUAGCGGCGGACGGGUGAGUAACACGUGGGUAACCUGCCCAUAAGACUGGGAUAACUCCGGGAAACCGGGGCUAAUACCGGAUAACAUUUUGAACCGCAUGGUCCGAAAUUGAAAGGCGGCUUCGGCUGUCACUUAUGGAUGGACCCGGGUCGCAUUAGCUAGUUGGUGAGGUAACGGCUCACCAAGGCAACGAUGCGUAGCCGACCGGAGAGGGCGAGCGGCCACACUGGGACGGGGACCCGGCGCAGACUCCUACGGAAGGCAGCAGUAGGGAAUCUUCCGCAAGGGACGAAAGUCUGACGGAGCAACGCCGCGUGAAUGAUGAAGGCUUUCGGGUCGUAAAACUCUGUUGUUAGGGAAGAACAAGUGCUAGUUGAAUAAGCUGACACCUUGACGGUACCUAACCAGAAAGCCACGGCUAACUACGUGCCAGCCGCCGCGGUAA